UCUAAGGAGACUGCCGGUGACAAACCGGAGGAAGGUGGGACGACGUCAAGUCAUCAUGGCCCUUACGUGUAGGGCUACACACGUGCUACAAUGGCAUUUACAGAGGGAAGCGAGACAGUGAUGUGGAGCGGACCCCUUAAAGAACGUCGUAGUCCGGAUUGGAGUCUGCAACUCGACUCCAUGAAGUCGGAAUCGCUAGUAAUCGCAGGUCAGAAUACUGCGGUGAAUACGUUCCCGGGCCUUGUACACACCGCCCGUCACACCAUGGGAGUGGGAUGCAAAAGAAGUAGUUAGUCUAACCUUCGGGAGGACGAUUACCACUUUGUGUUUCAUGACUGGGGUGAAGUCGUAACAAGGUAACCNG
rnacentral:rRNA from 1 species